rnacentral:rRNA from 1 species
AUAGCGUAUAUUAAAGUUGUUGCAGUUAAAAAGCUCGUAGUUGAACCUUGGGCCUGGCUGACCGGUCCGCCUCACGGCGCGUUACUGGCUCGGCUGGGGCUUUUCUUUUGGCAAACCGCAUGCCCUUCACUGGGUGUGUUGGGGAACCAGGACUUUUACUUUGAAAAAAUUAGAGUGUUCAAAGCAGGCAUAUGCUCGAAUACAUUAGCAUGGAAUAAUAGAAUAGGACGUGCGGUUCUAUUUUGUUGGUUUCUAGGACUGCCGUAAUGAUUAAUAGGGAUAGUCGGGGGCAUCCGUAUUCAAUUGUCAGAGGUGAAAUUCUUGGAUUUAUUGAAGACGAACUACUG